rnacentral:lncRNA from 1 species
GCCAAGCAUAUAGGAGAAAUCACUGAUGAGUGCCUAUCAUCUGGAGGUUUAACCUGCUCCUUUUACUCAGUGGAGACUUGGUUCCCCAUCCUGGUGCAACGUUGAAUUGACUUGCUUCUGACUUUGCCCAACAUUAGAGAUAGACCUGAUGCCCACUGCUUCCACUGCUGCUGAAAUAUUGUGGAUGCUUCAAGAACCAACUCCAGUGCCUUCUCUAUGUCUCUCCGAAUCUCCUUUGCCAACAAGGACCUUUUCUUCAAAGGUUAACUUAAGAUAUGAUCUCAUUUUAUAGGAGCAGAUUGGCUGUUCAAAUGGGACAUAAACUAGAUCAGUGGAGCAAAGAAUAAACUUUUGUAUAAAGAAAAGAAUAAAAUUAAC